rnacentral:rRNA from 1 species
GGGUUGUGAGGUUAAGCGACUAAGCGUACACGGUGGAUGCCCUGGCAGUCAGAGGCGAUGAAGGGCGUGCUAAUCUGCGAUAAGCGCCGGUAAGGUGAUAUGAACCGUUAUAACCGGCGAUACCCGAAUGGGGAAACCCAGUGUGACUCGUCACACUAUCAUUAACUGAAUCCAUAGGUUAAUGAGGCGAACCGGGGGAACUGAAACAUCUAAGUACCCCGAGGAAAAGAAAUCAACCGAGAUUCCCCCAGUAGCGGCGAGCGAACGGGGAGGAGCCCAGAGCCUGAAUCAGCAUGUGUGUUAGUGGAAGCGUCUGGAAAGGCGCGCGAUACAGGGUGACAGCCCCGUACACAAAAGCGCAUGUGCUGUGAGCUCGAUGAGUAGGGCGGGACACGUGGUAUCCUGUCUGAAUAUGGGGGGACCAUCCUCCAAGGCUAAAUACUCCUGACUGACCGAUAGUGAACCAGUACCGUGAGGGAAAGGCGAAAAGAACCCCGGCGAGGGGAGUGAAAAAGAACCUGAAACCGUGUACGUACAAGCAGUGGGAGCACAGGUUUACCUGUGUGACUGCGUACCUUUUGUAUAAUGGGUCAGCGACUUAUAUUCUGUAGCAAGGUUAACCGAAUAGGGGAGCCGGAGGGAAACCGAGUCUUAAUUGGGCGUUAAGUUGCAGGGUAUAGACCCGAAACCCGGUGAUCUAGCCAUGGGCAGGUUGAAGGUUGGGUAACACUAACUGGAGGACCGAACCGACUAAUGUUGAAAAAUUAGCGGAUGACCUGUGGCUGGGGGUGAAAGGCCAAUCAAACCGGGAGAUAGCUGGUUCUCCCCGAAAGCUAUUUAGGUAGCGCCUCGUGAAUUCAUCUCCGGGGGUAGAGCACUGUUUCGGCUAGGGGGCCAUCCCGGCUUACCAACCCGAUGCAAACUGCGAAUACCGGAGAAUGUUAUCACGGGAGACACACGGCGGGUGCUAACGUCCGUCGUGAAGAGGGAAACAACCCAGACCGCCAGCUAAGGUCCCAAAGUCAUGGUUAAGUGGGAAACGAUGUGGGAAGGCCCAGACAGCCAGGAUGUUGGCUUAGAAGCAGCCAUCAUUUAAAGAAAGCGUAAUAGCUCACUGGUCGAGUCGGCCUGCGCGGAAGAUGUAACGGGGCUAAACCAUGCACCGAAGCUGCGGCAGCGACGCUGAUGCGUUGUUGGGUAGGGGAGCGUUCUGUAAGCCUGCGAAGGUGGCCUGUGAGGGUUGCUGGAGGUAUCAGAAGUGCGAAUGCUGACAUAAGUAACGAUAAAGCGGGUGAAAAGCCCGCUCGCCGGAAGACCAAGGGUUCCUGUCCAACGUUAAUCGGGGCAGGGUGAGUCGACCCCUAAGGCGAGGCCGAAAGGCGUAGUCGAUGGGAAACGGGUUAAUAUUCCCGUACUUGGUGUUACUGCGAAGGGGGGACGGAGAAGGCUAUGUUGGCCGGGCGACGGUUGUCCCGGUUUAAGCGUGUAGGUGUGUGUUCCAGGUAAAUCCGGUUCACUUUAACACUGAGGCGUGAUGACGAGGCACUACGGUGCUGAAGCAACAAAUGCCCUGCUUCCAGGAAAAGCCUCUAAGCAUCAGGUAACAUCAAAUCGUACCCCAAACCGACACAGGUGGUCAGGUAGAGAAUACCAAGGCGCUUGAGAGAACUCGGGUGAAGGAACUAGGCAAAAUGGUGCCGUAACUUCGGGAGAAGGCACGCUGACACGUAGGUGAAGUGAUUUACUCAUGGAGCUGAAGUCAGUCGAAGAUACCAGCUGGCUGCAACUGUUUAUUAAAAACACAGCACUGUGCAAACACGAAAGUGGACGUAUACGGUGUGACGCCUGCCCGGUGCCGGAAGGUUAAUUGAUGGGGUCAGCGCAAGCGAAGCUCCUGAUCGAAGCCCCGGUAAACGGCGGCCGUAACUAUAACGGUCCUAAGGUAGCGAAAUUCCUUGUCGGGUAAGUUCCGACCUGCACGAAUGGCGUAAUGAUGGCCAGGCUGUCUCCACCCGAGACUCAGUGAAAUUGAACUCGCUGUGAAGAUGCAGUGUACCCGCGGCAAGACGGAAAGACCCCGUGAACCUUUACUAUAGCUUGACACUGAACAUUGAGCCUUGAUGUGUAGGAUAGGUGGGAGGCUUUGAAGUGUGGACGCCAGUCUGCAUGGAGCCGACCUUGAAAUACCACCCUUUAAUGUUUGAUGUUCUAACGUGGACCCGUAAUCCGGGUUGCGGACAGUGUCUGGUGGGUAGUUUGACUGGGGCGGUCUCCUCCUAAAGAGUAACGGAGGAGCACGAAGGUUGGCUAAUCCUGGUCGGACAUCAGGAGGUUAGUGCAAUGGCAUAAGCCAGCUUGACUGCGAGCGUGACGGCGCGAGCAGGUGCGAAAGCAGGUCAUAGUGAUCCGGUGGUUCUGAAUGGAAGGGCCAUCGCUCAACGGAUAAAAGGUACUCCGGGGAUAACAGGCUGAUACCGCCCAAGAGUUCAUAUCGACGGCGGUGUUUGGCACCUCGAUGUCGGCUCAUCACAUCCUGGGGCUGAAGUAGGUCCCAAGGGUAUGGCUGUUCGCCAUUUAAAGUGGUACGCGAGCUGGGUUUAGAACGUCGUGAGACAGUUCGGUCCCUAUCUGCCGUGGGCGCUGGAGAACUGAGGGGGGCUGCUCCUAGUACGAGAGGACCGGAGUGGACGCAUCACUGGUGUUCGGGUUGUCAUGCCAAUGGCACUGCCCGGUAGCUAAAUGCGGAAGAGAUAAGUGCUGAAAGCAUCUAAGCACGAAACUUGCCCCGAGAUGAGUUCUCCCUGAGACUUAGAGUCUCCUGAAGGAACGUUGAAGACGACGACGUUGAUAGGCCGGGUGUGUAAGCGCAGCGAUGCGUUGAGCUAACCGGUACUAAUGAACCGUGAGGCUUAACCUUACAACGCCGAAG